rnacentral:misc_RNA from 1 species
ACUACCAGGGUAUCUAAUCCUGUUUGCUCCCCACUUUUUCGUGCAUGACGUCAGUGUUGUCCCAGGAGGCUGCCUUCGCCAUCGGUGUUCCUCCGCAUAUCUACGCAUUUCACUGCUACACGCGGAAUUCCACCUCCCUCUGACACACUCUAGCUCGGUAGUUAAAAAUGCAGUUCAAAGUUAAGCUCUGGGAUUUCACAUCUUUCUUUCCGAACCGCCUGCGCCCACGCUUCCGCCCAGUAAUUCCGAUUAGCAGCACCCUACGUAUUACCGCGGCUGCUACAGCGUAGUUAUCGGUGCUUAUUCUGCAGGUACCGUCAAUUGCGGAAUGUGCUCGUAUGAUUUUCUUUCCUGCCAAAGUGUACUAAACCCGAGAGCCUUCAUCGCACGCGGGAUGGCUGGAUCGGGGUUUCCCCAUUGUCCAAAAUUCCCCACUGCUGCCCCCCAUCA